GCACUUCAGCAGCACAUACACUACAACUGGAACGAUAUGGAGAUUAUCAUGGUCCCUGUGCGAGGAUGACAUGCAAUUAAGUGAAUUAAUGCAGAAACAG
ensembl:snRNA RNU6-197P RNA, U6 small nuclear 197, pseudogene